rnacentral:rRNA from 1 species
GAUUUCUGAUCUGUCAACAUUUAGCCGGCCACGGUUUCGUGUGUUAGUGCUUGAUGUUCUGGCCAUCCUUCCAAUCGCUAUUGGUUACUCUUCAUUGAGUGGUCAGUAGUAUUGGAUCUUUUACUUUGAAAAAAUUAGAGUGUUUCAAGCAGGCUUUAUGCUAUGAAUACAUUAGCAUGGAAUAAUAAUUUAGGACUUCGGUUCUAUUUUGUUGGUUUCUAGGACUGAAGUAAUGAUUGAUAGGGAUAGUUGGGGGUGCUAGUAUUCAGCGGCCAGAGGUGAAAUUCUCGGAUUCGCUGAAGACUAACUUAUGCGAAAGCAUU